rnacentral:rRNA from 1 species
UGGGUCAUUUUAUAAAAAUUUAUAGAUUUAGAAUAGUACAGAGAUGGGAAACGAAUAAUGUUGAAAGUAACUUAUUAUAAGUAAUUAUUUAAAGUGUACCUUUUGUAUCAGGGUGAAAGGAAAGUUUUUUUACAAUUUUAUCCCGAAAAGGCAAGAUCUUUGGAGACUAGAAUUUAAUGUUAAAUUAUUAUUUUGAAAUUCUUUAAAGAAGCGAGAAGUUAGACGGUUGUCUUUAUAUCUGGUUAAGUAGAAAAUUUAAAAAUUUUACCCCUAAUUAACUUGAGGGUUUUUAAUUUUUCAGGGAUAAGCUUGAAAAAUUUAAUUGACUUCUUCAUCAUGUUGCGGAAGAUAAAUUUUUUAUGAAAAUUUUUUAAUGUCUUUUUAUAAUUCUGCUUUAUAAUUUUUAAUUAAAUAAAAUUAUAAAUAAUCUUUCUAUAAGUAGUUAUAAUAAUUAUUUUAAGGAACUCGGCAAAAAAGCUAUUCGCUUGUUUAUUAAAAACAUCGCCUUUUGUAGUUAAUUUAAGGUCGGGCCUGCUCAGUGCACUGUAAGUAAAUUGCUGCAGUAUUAUGACUGUACUAAGGUAGCAUAAUCAUUAGUUUUUUAAUUGAAAGCUCGUAUGAAUGGCUUGACGAAAUAGCGGCUGUCUCAAAAUUUUUUAAUUAAUUUAAACUGUUGGUAAAAAUGCCUAUAUGUUUAAGAGGGACGAGAAGACCCUAAGAUCUUUACAUGCUAAUUACUAUUUAUAGUAAUAUUGUUUGUUUUUCUGGGGCGGAAGUAUAAUUUAAACUUUUACUUAAAUUUAAGAUUAUUCUAAUACAAAUCCUUUAAAAAAGAUAGUUAAGUUACCUUAGGGAUAACAGUGCAAUUUUUAAAUUUAGCCCUGAUAAAUUUUAGAGUUUGCAACCUCGAUGUUGAAUUAAGUUUACUUCUAGGAGCAAAAGAUUAGAAAGUUAGUCUGUUCGACUAUUAAAAACUUACAUGAUUUGAGUUUAGACCGACGUGAGUCAGGUCAGAUUCUAUCUUCUAUUUUGCUUUUCAUUGUACGAAAGGACUUGAGAAGCUUACUUUUGUAGU